UACGGAGGGUGCGAGAGUUAUCCGGAAUUACUGGGUUUAAAGGGGGCGUAGGCGGAUUCAUAAGUCUGGGGUGAAAGCCUAUCGCUUAACGCGAGGAUUGCCUUAGAUACUGUAAAGCUUGAACGGGGUAGAGGCCAGCAGAAUGGGGGAUGUAGCGGUGAAAUGCAUAGAUAUGCGAUAGAACACCAAUUGCGAAGGCAGGUGGUUGGACCUACUAUGACGAUGAGGCACGAAAGCGUGGGGAGCGAACAGG
rnacentral:rRNA from 1 species